rnacentral:rRNA from 1 species
UACAGAGGGUGCAAGCGUUAAUCGGAAUUACUGGGCGUAAAGCGCACGUAGGCGGUUUUUUAAGUCAGAUGUGAAAGCCCCGGGCUCAACCUGGGAAUUGCAUUUGAAACUGGGAAACUAGAGUGUGUGAGAGGGGGGUAGAAUUCCAAGUGUAGCGGUGAAAUGCGUAGAGAUUUGGAGGAAUACCAGUGGCGAAGGCGGCCCCUUGGCACAACACUGACGCUCAGGUGCGAAAGCGUGGGGAGCAAACAGG